CGUAUAAAAGGAGAGAGAAAAGGCGAAGGUAAAUCAGUCGAGUGAGCAUCUUCGACACGGCAACAACUACAGCGCACUCACCAUCUGCCUUCUUCACUGUAUUGCCAGUUCGCAACCAUGGUUGUCUAAGGCGUCGUAUGCUGUUGGGUGUUGUAUCGUUAAUGGCUGGGUCGACCACUGGUGUACCGAUGUCUCCUGGGGUGUGGCGGAUGCCAAACCGCAACGCCGCCGCCUUACUACGCAACAACCGGUUCCUACACCACCAAGGUUCAAGAGUGUUACACCACAAUUUAUGAUGCCCCGAGCUGCUACACCGAAUCCCGAAGUAUAACUCUGCCCCGAGUUACAUCACUAGAGAGCCGGAUUACUACACCGAGGCUCCGAAGUACUACAUCACUAAGACACCGGAAUACUACACGUCUAUGUAUGCUGCCCCUGCCUACUACACCGAGGCCCCGCAUUACUACAACACCGAAUCGCUUAAGUACUACACUUCAACCUACGCUGCCCCAAUCUACUACACCUACGUCCCGAAGUAUUACUGUGCGUAAAAGGAGUCGUCUAAGUCGUGCCUGAACUGCAGAGCCCUAUCUGUCACCAACUGCAUUCCUCAUCGUGUAACCGAUUCGCAAUUAUGGAUUUAUUUACUGUUUACUUGUUUAGUCAACGAUGGCGCCGUGCUCCCUGUUGGGUGUUGUAUCGUUGAUGGCUGGGUCGACCACUGGUGUACAGAUGUCUCCGAGAAGUCUCCUUGGUAUGGCGCAAACCAAACCGCAACGCCGCUGCAUUCCGACACAACUUAUGCAACGACCAGUUCCUACACCGAGGUCUUCAAGUACUUCAUCACUACAGCACCGGAGUUUUAUACCACAACUUACGCUGCCCCGAGCCACUACACUGACGCUCUGAAGUAUUAGUCUGCCCCGAGUUACUACACCAUCUAGGCGACGGAGUACUACAUGAUUACGUAUGCUGCCCAUCCUACUACACCGAGGCUUCUAACAACUACACCGAGGCUCCCGCUGAUUACUCCACCAAACGGUUGAGUACUACACCUAAGCGCCAAAGUACUUCUCUGCCCCGAUCUACACAACCACAACUGAGGCAGCCAAGUAUUACGCAGUCCCGACUUGCUACCCAGAAGCUGUUCUUUCGUGCUACGUUGAACAGAAAUACUACACAUACUACGCUCCAGUUAACUACACCACGACCUACGUUACACCUAGCCACAACACCGCAGCCCCCAAAUACUACACCGAAGAAGCCGCCUAUUACACAACCACGUACGCUGCCUGGUAUACUACAUCCAGGAAUUUAAGUAUUACUCUGCUCCAAACUACUACCAAACUGAAGUUAAUUUCUAUUUCACCAGCAAUUCUCCCGACCAUGUCACCACUACUUGUGUUGCUCCGACCUAUACAUCGAAGUUCUGAAGUAUUUCUCUUGAUGUGUUGAAAGUUUGCUGAAAUACAAGAUUGAUCGAUAAA